GCAGUCGAGCGAGAUCUUCGGAUCUAGCGGCGGACGGGUGAGUAACGCGUGGGAACGUGCCCUUUGCUACGGAAUAGUCCCGGGAAACUGGGUUUAAUACCGUAUGUGCCCUUCGGGGGAAAGAUUUAUCGGCAAAGGAUCGGCCCGCGUUGGAUUAGGUAGUUGGUGGGGUAAUGGCCUACCAAGCCGACGAUCCAUAGCUGGUUUGAGAGGAUGAUCAGCCACACUGGGACUGAGACACGGCCCAGACUCCUACGGGAGGCAGCAGUGGGGAAUCUUAGACAAUGGGGGCAACCCUGAUCUAACCGUGCCGCGUGAGUGAUGAAGGCCUUAGGGUUGUAAAGCUCUUUCAGCUGGGAAGAUAAUGACGGUACCAGCAGAAGAAGCCCCGGCUAACUCCGUGCCAGCAGCCGCGGUAAUACGGAGGGGGCUAGCGUUGUUCGGAAUUACUGGGCGUAAAGCGCACGUAGGCGGACUGGAAAGUUGGGGGUGAAAUCCCGG
rnacentral:rRNA from 1 species